rnacentral:rRNA from 1 species
AAGAAAGUAAGAAAGGGCGUAUGGCGGAUGCCUAGGCUCACGGAGGCGAUGAAGGACGUGAUAAGCUGCGAUAAGCUUCGGGUAGGUGCAAAUAACCUUUGAUCCGAAGAUUUCCGAAUGGGACAACCUAGCCGUCUGAAGGACGGUUACUCUUACCAAUGUAAGAGAGCUAACGCAGGGAACUGAAACAUCUUAGUACCUGCAGGAAGAGAAAAUAAAUGAAUGAUUCCCCCAGUAGUGGCGAGCGAACGGGGAACAGCCCAAACCAGUGGCGUCGCAAGGCGUGGCUGGGGUUGUAGGACCGCGACAUUGUAUGCAAAUCGUGAACAGAACACUUUGGAAAAUGUGACCAUAGACGGUGAUAGUCCAGUAUGUGAAGCGAAAUGCAGCAUAGCGGUAUCCUGAGUAACGCGGGACACGAGGAAUCCUGCGCGAAUCUGCCGGGACCAUCCGGUAAGGCUAAAUACUCCCGUGAGACCGAUAGCGAACGAGUACUGUGAAGGAAAGGUGAAAAGAACCCCGAGCAGGGGAGUGAAAUAGUUCCUGAAACCAUACGCCUACAAGCGGUCGGAGCAUCGUAAGAUGUGACGGCGUGCCUUUUGCAUAAUGAUCCUACGAGUUACCGUCACUGGCGAGGUUGAGUGUCAUGAGACACGUAGCCGCAGUGAAAGCGAGCCUGAACAGGGCGCACAGUCAGUGGGGGUAGACGCGAAACCAAGUGAUCUACACUUGGCCAGGAUGAAGUCCCGGUAACACGGGAUGGAGGUCCGCACCAAUAAGCGUUGAAAAGCUUCUGGAUGAGCCGAGUGUAGGAGUGAAAGGCCAAUCAAACUUGGAGAUAGCUCGUACUCCCCGAAAGGCAUUUAGGUGCCGCGUCGGAUGGUCACCGUGAGAGGUAGAGCGACCGAUAGGACAAGAGGGCUUCACCGCCUAUCGAGUCCUGACGAACUCCGAAUGCUCACGGUCUGCAGUCCGGCAGUAAGGGGGCGGGUGCUAAGGUCCGUCCCCGAGAGGAGAAGAAUCCAGACCGCCGUCUAAGGUCCCGGAGUUCUGCCUGAGUUAGUCUAACGAAGUCUGGUCCCUAUGACAGCUAGGAUGUUGGCUUGGAAGCAGCCAUUCAUUCAAAGAGUGCGUAACAGCUCACUAGUCGAGGGUCCGGGCAUGGAUAAUAAUCGGGUAUAAGGCAGACACCGAAGGCGCGGGAUAGCAAUUGUAAAAGUAUCGGUAGGGGAGCAUACUCACAGCGUCGAAUGGUGUACGUAAGUUAUCCUGGAGCGGUGAGUAAAGCAAAUGUAGGAAUAAGUAACGAUAAGGAGGGUUAGAUUCCCUCCCGCUGUAAGACCAAGGUUUCCCGGGCAAUGCCAAUCAGCCCGGGGUCAGUCGGGUCCUAAGUCUAAGCCGAACGGCGAUGGCGAUGGCAGAGACGGUUAAUAUUCCGUCACUGCCGCAUGGGGCGACGUGGAGACGGAGCAGUGAAACCACCGCGGGGCGACGGAAGUCCCCGUUGAAGAGUGUAGGCGUUGAGGAUGGCAGGCAAAUCCACCAUCCGAGCUGAACUUGACAGUAUGGAGUCUUCUUCGGAAGAAUCCAAUAGUGUGGGUAAUCAUACUCCCGAGAAAAUCCGCUAAGCUUAACCCAUGCGGCACCCGUACCGCAAACGGACACACGUGGUCGGGUAGAACAUACUAAGGCGUUGAGAGAUUCAUGGUUAAGGAACUAGGCAAAUUGACCCUGUAACUUCGGGAUAAAGGGUCCUCGUGAUGAGCGAGGCGCAGAGAAUAGGUCCAGGCAACUGUUUAACAAAAACACAGGGCUGUGCAAACUCGAAAGAUGACGUAUACAGCCUGACACCUGCCCGGUGCCGGAAGGUUAAGAGGAGAUGUCACUCGCAAGAGGAAGCAUUGAAUUGAAGCCCCGGUAAACGGCGGCCGUAACUAUAACGGUCCUAAGGUAGCGAAAUUCCUUGUCGGGUAAGUUCCGACCUGCACGAAUGGUGUAAUGAUCCGGACGCUGUCUCAACCAUGAGCUCAGUGAAAUUGUAGUAUCGGUGAAGAUGCCGAUUACCCGCGAUGGGACGAAAAGACCCCGUGAACCUUUACUACAGCUUAGCAUUGACCUUGGUCAUCCGAUGUGUAGGAUAGGCCGGAGGCUUCGAAGCGGGAGCGCCAGCUUUCGUGGAGCCAUCCUUGAAAUACGGCCCUUUGGCUGUCUGAGGUCUAACGCGUGAUACGCGGACACUGCUUGGUGGGUAGUUUGACUGGGGUGGUCGCCUCCAAAAGCGUAACGGAGGCUUCCAAAGGUGCCCUCGGGUCGAUUGGUAACCGACCUCAAAGAGUGCAAUGGCAUAAGGGCGCUUGACUGGGAGGCAGACAUGCCGAGCAGGCAGGAAACUGGGGCAUAGUGAUCCGGCGGAUGUGUAUGGAAACUCCGUCGCUCAAAGGAUAAAAGGUACUCCGGGGAUAACAGGCUGAUCCCCCCCAAGAGCUCAUAUCGACGGGGUGGUUUGGCACCUCGAUGUCGGCUCGUCACAUCCUGGGGCUGGAGAAGGUCCCAAGGGUUGGGCUGUUCGCCCAUUAAAGUGGCACGCGAGCUGGGUUCAGAACGUCGUGAGACAGUUCGGUCUCUAUCUAUCGUGGGCGUGGGAGUUUUGAGUGGUGCCGUCACUAGUACGAGAGGACCGUGAUGGACAGACCUCCGGUUUACCAGUUGUGCCGCCAGGCGCACCGCUGGGUAUCUGAGUCUGGAUUGGAUAAGCGCUGAAAGCAUCUAAGUGCGAAGCCAGCCGCAAGAUGAGAACUCCAUUGAGGGUCGUCAAAGACGAUGACGUUGAUAGGAUGCAGGUGUAAAGACAGCGAUGUCAAAGCCGAGCAUUACUAAUUGCCCGAACACUUUCUUUA